rnacentral:snRNA from 1 species
AUCACUUCCAAGUCUUCUGACUGAGAUCAAAUGCAAGGUCUGUUCUCAGUUUAACAUUGGUUGGGUCCUCUAUCUGAAGACAACAUAUUAAAUGAUUUUUAGAGCUAAUCAAUAAGACAGAAACUGGUUCCAUCCACUAUACCCAUUGACCUGAUAUUGCAGAACCUCCAGGGAUGAUGCAUCCUCU